AUGAGUUGGGCUCAGGAAGCAGAGCUCUGGGGGUGUCUCCACCAUGGCCUGGACCCCUCUCCUCCUCACCCUCCUCACUCUCUGCCAGGGUCCUGGGCACAGUCUGGGCUGACACAGGAAGCCUCGGUGUCAGGGUCUCCUGGACAGACUGUCACCAUCACAUGCAAGGGGAGCAGCUCUGACCUUGGAUCUUAUGGUGCUGGCUGGUACCAGCAGCUCCUUGGGGGCACCCCCAAGACUGUGAUGCUCGCAACUUCUCGGCCCUCGGGGAUCCCAGCUCGGUUCUCUGGCUCCAAGGCAAGUGGCAAGGCCUCCCUGACCAUCACGGGGCUCCAGCCUGAGGACGAGGCUGUCUAUUACUGCUCAACAUGGGACAGUAGCAUCAGUGGUCCACAGUGCUCCAGACACAUGGGGAACUGAGACAGAAACCUGCCCCUGCCCCCUGAGGCUGGUCUCCCCUCUAAGAGCCUGUGACGAACACCAGCGGAGGGUGACUGUGGUGUCCCCUCCCUUGUCAGCAUCCCAUGACCUGAAGGUCAGAGCAGAGAGCAAAAAUAUAGGGUCAAUGACAAUGGCUACUUCUCAUUAUUUCAUCCCCACAUUUCACAAGCAUUUGGUAUUGUCAGGUUUCUUGUUUUGUCCAACCUACUGUUUGCACUGCAAUCUUCCUGUCACUUAAUGUUCAUUUUCCUAAUUACUCAUGAAGGCAAAUAUCUUUUUUAUGCUUUUAUUACUAUUACAUAUUUCUUCUUUUGUGACA